rnacentral:rRNA from 1 species
UUCCCCUAGUAACUGCGAGUGAAGCGGGAAAAGCUCAAAUUUAAAAUCUGGCGGUCUGCUGGCCGUCCGAGUUGUAGUCUGGAGAAGUGUUAUCCGCGUCGGACCGUGUACAAGUCUCCUGGAAUGGAGCGUCAUAGAGGGUGAGAAUCCCGUCCAUGACACGGACGACCGAUGCUAUGUGAGGCACUCUCAAAGAGUCGAGUUGUUUGGGAAUGCAGCUCAAAAUGGGUGGUAAAUUCCAUCUAAAGCUAAAUAUUGGCGAGAGACCGAUAGCGAACAAGUACCGUGAGGGAAAGAUGAAAAGCACUUUGGAAAGAGAGUUAAACAGUACGUGAAAUUGUUGAAAGGGAAACGCUUGAAGUCAGUCGCGUCCUGUGGAACUCAGCCUUGCUUCGGCCUGGUGUACUUUCUGCAGGACGGGUCAACAUCAGUUUUGGCCGGUGGAAAAAGGCUAGGGGAAUGUAGCGCCGUUUCGGCGGCGUGUUAUAGCCCUUUGUCAAAUACACUGGCUGGGACUGAGGACUGCAGCACGCCCUUGUGGCCGGGGGUUCGCCCCACGUAACGUGCUUAGGAUGUUGGCAUAAUGGCUUUAAGCGACC